rnacentral:rRNA from 4 species
CAACGCGACCCCAGGUCAGGCGG